GCAGGGUUCUUCUCAGUAGUCCCAAGUAUUGCGCUCGAAGCACGUAACAUUCUCCAAGCCAGAUCCAAAUCUGAGAAAAUCAGAAUUAGCUUUCUCAAUUGAGUUUUCCUAUAAUCAAUGGCUUUAUCAGUUUUAUCAUGACAGUUCAAAAUGCACACGGAACAUGAACCUAAGUUAUUGCAUUUGACUUUGAGUAUUCGUGAAAGUAAAAAAUAAAACAUACCAGCUGCAACAGAAAACAAUUAGAACGAUAUAAAUGCAUACAUGACUUAAGUCAAAUCAGGAUAUAUAAUCUAAUUGUCGAUAUCUCAUAAUUGAUCAAUAUAUAGGCUGAUGUAAAUUAAUAAGAAUUCUCACGGAAAUGUAAGAUUAUAAUUAUUCACUUUAUAUAUUUACUGAAAGUUGCUUAUUUUAUUGAACUUCUGUAAGACUGUAUCAUAUUAUUUCCAAAAAGAGAUGGAAUUAGGACGUAGGGAAAGCUAGCCCAUCGAAGUACACUUAUUAGAAUGAAACCAGUUCAUAUAUCAGUAUGUAUGCUUAACUAGACAUCACCCUUCAAAGUGCGCAUGUAAGAAUUACAUGAGGGUUAAUAGAUGAAAUCUGGUACAAAAAAAUGCCCGCAAGAAAAAAAAACUCAGAGCUCUUAUUACUGAAGACUAUAUAUUAAUGCUUUGUAAAUUUGCAGAAUACACUACAGAAUAGAAUUUUAUUAUCUGUACUCUUCAGCAGGGUUUGUAGAAAGGGAAAAAAUAGCAUGUUAAAUAAUUUAGCAUCGGCCUCCUCUAGGCGCUACAUAUGCUACAGAAACCGCUAGAUCAUUUAGCAUUCUGUAAAAGGAAAGCGAAUAUGGCCCAGAAACAAGGGAUUUUAGUAGACAUUUAGCAUAGACAUGAUGUAAAUACUUUCCGAGGACUAUUACAUGCAUAAGCACAUAAGCAAACAGUUGUCCAAAUGACCUGACUCCAUAAACACAAGUCCCCUGACGGGGGAUAGCUAAUGUCACUGACAGUUGAACACACACGGAACACUAUAAAACUAAAGGACUUAAAACCGCGGCAGUCUUGAGAGCGGGUA
rnacentral:lncRNA from 1 species